rnacentral:rRNA from 1 species
UACGUAGGGUGCAAGCGUUAUCCGGAAUUAUUGGGCGUAAAGAGCUCGUAGGCGGUUGUCGCGUCUGCCGUGAAAGUCCGGGCUCAACUCCGGAUCUGCGGUGGGUACGGGCAGACUAGAGUGAUGUAGGGGAGACUGGAAUUCCUGGUGUAGCGGUGAAAUGCGCAGAUAUCAGGAGGAACACCGAUGGCAAGGCAGGUCUCUGGGCAUUAACUGACGCUGAGGAGCGAAAGCAUGGGGAGCGAACAGG